CACGAGGAAGCUUGCAAAGCACUAGCCUUUUAAACUAGAGAAGAGAAAAUUCUCCCAAGUGA
rnacentral:tRNA from 1 species